rnacentral:ribozyme from 1 species
UGCCCAGCAACUCCUAUCCCUACCUCCUCGCGGUAAUGGCUGGGGUACGAGUAACCUUAGGGAAGAUCGGGUAACCAACCCCCGGUGGGAACUUUGGUCGUAUGCUGACAGGGAAGG